rnacentral:sRNA from 1 species
UGGCGUAUUCUCAGGGAACGCCGUUCGUGCUGCGUACGCUGGGUCAGGGUCGUUAGAUGGGGUGUUGAUGUUCGGAGAGUUGGUUAAGCUACGCGAUGGGAUCUCGAGCGUUGCUGGACGUUCGGUCUCGAGACGUACGCGCUCCAGCUCUCGGCGCAGGUCAGCCACCUGAGCGUCUCGCUCGUUUCUGACAUUUGCGAGGCUAUCUGCAAAGCCCACAGCAUCCGCUGCUCGUUGCUGGGCGGCUUCCGCACGCUGACGUUCCUUCUGCGCCUCGAGCUCUGUUUGGUAAAGAUUACGCAUUGCCAAUAUCUCCUCCAACAAGGUGUUGCGGACGAGAAGCUUGUCGUUCUCGGGUGCGAGAGCUGCCGCUCUGCGUACUGCUUCUCGUAGGCCUUCGGGAACCAGUUGCAUUUCAUUCGGUUCGGGUACAAGGGAUGGGUGUUGGUUGAAGGUGUCCAUGAUGGUUAUCGUCGGUCGUACGCUUUUUUCUAUGUCUUAAGAAUAUCGUUUGUAGUUGAUUUCUUGUUGGUAUCUUCUUGGUCGUACGACUGACUGACUCCUUCUUAAGCUUGCGAGUAGGGUGGUCCUUUGAACCGUUGUCCACCUCUACACCGCCUUCCUACGCCCUCGGCUCGCCUCACGUAUGGCGGUGAGUCGUCUGCUACCAAUUUUGCAAUCGGAAGCGUUCCGACUUCACCGCUCAUUCGUACGAUCGAGCUCUAGAGCGUAGAGAUGACCACGCUGGCAUGAUAACUACGACUCGCGUCGUAGGCGGAAUUAUCACGCCCCCAGGAGCGUAUGCUCCCUUCGGUUUAGACAUGCUACCAGAUGUAGUUCAAAGGUUGCUUAAGCUGUUCAAAGCUUCUAAGCUUUGCAGCUCUUCUUAUACGAAAUAACUAGUGCAGUAGCGUACGCCAUCCUUAAUAAUAGGGGGUGGCGUACGCCACGGAAGAAUAAUAAGCCGAAAUUACCACA